rnacentral:rRNA from 1 species
AACAGGAUUAGAUACCCUGGUAGUCCACGCAGUAAACGAUGAUUACUAGGAGUUUGCGAUACACAGUAAGCUCUACAGCAAAAGCGUUAAGUAAUCCACCUGGGGAGUACGCCGGCAACGGUGAAACUCAAAGGAAUUGACGGGGGCCCGCACAAGCGGAGGAACAUGUGGUUUAAUUCGAUGAUACGCGAGGAACCUUACCCGGGUUUGAACGUAGUCAGACCGGCCUUGAAAGAGGUCUUCUAGCAAUAGCUGAUUACGAGGUGCUGCAUGGUUGUCGUCAGCUCGUGCCGUGAGGUGUCGGCUUAAGUGCCAUAACGAGCGCAACCCUUAUCACUAGUUACUAACAGGUUAAGCUGAGGACUCUGGUGAGACUGCCAGCGUAAGCUGUGAGGAAGGUGGGGAUGACGUCAAAUCAGCACGGCCCUUACAUCCGGGGCGACACACGUGUUACAAUGGCAUGGACAAAGGGCAGCUACCUGGCGACAGGAUGCUAAUCUCUAAACCAUGUCUCAGUUCGGAUCGGAGUCUGCAACUCGACUCCGUGAAGCUGGAUUCGCUAGUAAUCGCGCAUCAGCCAUGGCGCGGUGAAUACGUUCCCGGGCCUUGUACACACCGCCCGUCAAGCCAUGGGAGCCGGGGGUACCUGAAGUCCGUAACCGCAAGGAUCGGCCUAGGGUAAAACUGGUGACUGGGGCUAAGUCGUAACAAGGUAACC